UUUAAAAUGAGUAGUAUAUAUGUAUACACAGAUUAAAAUAAAGCUAAAAAUUUCAAUUUCCCUAAUCCUUAUAUAUUGCAUAUGCGUAACUGUAAGAAAGUUAAAAAUCUUGGCUAAGGAUUUCCUCCAAGUUUGCAGUUUUGGCUUGUGGUCUGUUUCCUGUCAAGGGAAUUUACUGGACUGUGAGAGUCCUUUAUGUUGCAGCUCUUUUGUGAUGAUUUGGAAUCUUGCCCAGAAUUUUUGGUUUUUGGAUUGUGGAAUUCCCAAAAUAUGGCGCCUAUUUUUCUGGUUUAAGGUUUUCUGCAGGCUGGAUGCUCUCUUUCUGCAGAUUUCUGCUUCUUCCUGGAGCUCCUUUAGCUUUAGAACCAGAUUGAGAGUUUGCAAUUCUGCUUGCCUUUCUUCUGCUGGUGCCCAGGUCUGCUCUCUGUCUUACUAUAAAGACAUUUACCAAAGCCUCUGUUGGUUGCUGGGUUUUAUUGUAUGGACGGUAAAUUCUGUGUGUUUUUUGAUUGGUGGUCAGGCCUGCAUUCUCAAAUUCUUGUUAAGACAAGUUUGAAUAGGUUAGUCGUAUGUCUCUUCUUCAAACCUAUCAUAGUAGAUUCUGUGAUAGGUCAACGAGAGAAGAUAAUCAGAAUUUUUGUGAAUUUUUGUUUUUUGCAAGCUGUCUCUGUGUAGUUUUUUACUGACCCUUUUUUUAUUAGGCCGAACUUAAUAUGUUCCGAGUCCCUUUUUUGGGUAUCCCAUUGUUUUUUUAUCUUUUUACAUUAAAAACAAAAAGAAAGUUGAAAGUCUUUCGUCUUCUUCAUCCUUUUGCUUCUCAUUCUUCUUUAUCAAUGUUACUCACGAAUCCCAUGUAUUCUAACCAGACAAAAUCGAAUAAAUGUAGAUGCUAAAUAACAAAAGCAAGGAAAGAGGAAUGAAAAAGCAUAUGUGGAUAAGAUAAGCCCAAUGACCCAUCAAAUCAAUGAAGACUUUACUCCACAACGUUUGUACGCACUGUGUAGAGAGCCACUGCACAUUAUUAAUGUCAAUUGGUGGACCCAGACUCCAUGACUUAUCUGCAACUUUUUUUAGCCUCAUUCAUCUCUUCACAUGCCAGUUUUCCUUGAUGGAAAUUAAGCCAGCGCCUACACCCAGCUAUUUCCUUUGAAUUCCUUGGCCUACCUAACAAACAAUUAAUUAGCUUCACGUGGCUUUGAUGUUUACCUUGUCUUCCCCCAUCUCCUCGUAGUUGUUCUGGCAGAAUCCAAUGGCCCCAUGUCAGGCUUUUGUUCCUAAAUUUUCUCAUCAUUUAAUCACACAAGUGGAUAAGAUCACAUAGUAAGGCAACACGAGUCUGCUUCUUCUAGCUUUUGCUUUUACCUUUGGAAAAGUGGUUGGAGAGGAGAAGAGUGGAGAGGUCAAUUUUGCAGCCAAUGAGAUGGAUGCGGCAACAAGAAGAAGAUGGACCAUAUUCAAUGUAACCAGUAUAAUUUUUUAAGUGAAGGCUACCUCCAUUGAAUCAGAUUCCAAUAUCGUGCUCUUCUGUAUCUCAUCUAACAGGCGUUGGAGAUUCUGAGAGAAACAUACACUCUCUCUCUCACCAGCAUACAGCCAUUGCUUUAGCCAUUAAGUACAUUGCUUAUUCUAGUGGGUGGUCACUGUUCCAUAAAUGUUCUCCAAAAGGAGAAAAUUAUUGGCUCUUGCUAAAUCAGACAGACAGCUGGAAGGAAGGGCUUCAGGUCUUAUUUUCCCACCAUUUUAGUUUGUUUUUAUGCAUUUUCUGCUCUCAAAAUUAAUAACAGUAGCUACCACCAAUUUUUCGUGAUGGC